UACGUAGGGUGCAAGCGUUAAUCGGAAUUACUGGGCGUAAAGCGUGCGCAGGCGGCUUUGCAAGACAGAUGUGAAAUCCCCGGGCUCAACCUGGGAACUGCAUUUGUGACUGCAAGGCUAGAGUACGGCAGAGGGGGGUGGAAUUCCGCGUGUAGCAGUGAAAUGCGUAGAGAUGCGGAGGAACACCGAUGGCGAAGGCAGCCCCCUGGGCUGACACUGACGCUCAGGCACGAAAGCGUGGGGAGCAAACAGG
rnacentral:rRNA from 1 species